ACUCCUACGGGAGGCAGCAGUGGGGAAUAUUGCACAAUGGGGGAAACCCUGAUGCAGCCAUGCCGCGUGUGUGAAGAAGGCCUUGGGUUGUAAAGCACUUUCAGUAGGGAGGAAGGUAGUGUAGUUAACACCUGCAUUAUUUGUACGUUACCUACAGAAGAAGCACCGGCUAACUCCGUGCCAGCAGCCGCGGUAAGUACGGAGGGUGCGAGCGUUAAUCGGAAUUACUGGGCGUAAAGCGCAUGCAGGCGGCCUGUUAAGUCAGAUGUGAAACGCCCGGGGUCUUAACCGUCGGAAUUGCAUUUGAAACUGGCAGGCUAGAGUCUUGUAGAGGGGUUAGAAUUUCGAGGUGUAG
rnacentral:rRNA from 1 species